CAGAAGCUCUUAUCUCCUUCUUUCUCCUUCCAUGUCGAGAAGAACAGAUCGUCUGUUGAAGAACCUGAAUCAGUUCGCCGAUGCUUAGUACAAACAAUUCUUGGCCCAUUACGGGCAACAAGUCAUAGACAUUCUCGACUUCCCCAUCAAACUUGUCCUGUCUCCUUUCGCUCUCGCCUUCGACAUCGCUGGUUUUGCUCCUCGCGUUUUCGGCAUCCCCGAGUUCAUCUCUAAACUAUCUUAUCUCUCCGUCUUUGGAUUGCAAGACUUGCAAUGGAUGGCAAGCGUUAAGGUGCACCAUGUGCAAAGGAACGGGGAAGGUUCAUUAUCAAAUAAAGGAUUACAACUUGAGAAGUGGAGAGAAGGCGACAGCAAAUAGUUGCAGAUGCCAUUGUUGGGAAUAGAGCUGAGUUGGUGCAUCUUCCAUCAUCCAUUAACCUUAGCAUACCAUUGCUUUCAAAAGAAUGUCCGACCUGUGAUGGAACAAUGAGAUGCUUUCCCACAUCGCAUUUAUUCCAGAGGCUAAUAUUUAUUUGAUUGCAUAGCUGAUUGUUCACAUUAACUUGGUUUGGAUGUCGCUGCUACUUCCAAAUUUGUAUUCACGUUGGCAUAUGGUAGUUUGGAUGUUGUUUUAGAAAAAGUAUUUGCCUGCACUUUGAGGAUAGGAAAGGUAGUCCAUCUUUAUCGCAUUGUACGCUAAUUUAUUGUGGAACAUCUUUUCAUGAUGUAGGGUGUGAUGAGUUGUCCUGAGUGCAAGAACAAACUGCAAGUCAAAAUCUCAACCGAUGAUAUAUGUCGUUUGUCUGUCAUUACUGUGUAUCAGUUUUUUGGGUCAUGUCAGCAUACACCACAUAGAUCUAUAUUGAAAUUGGAGGAAUAAUUAUAGUAAAUAUCGACAUCUAGAAAAGGGAUGGUAUUGAUUAGGUAUAGUUUCUAGAAAUUGUGAUCACCAAAGAAUAUUUUUGGCAUAGAACUCUCCUUAUGAAAUGUUUAAUAUCUUAUAUGUGCAUUACAUAUAUAUUACUGCUGCAGAUCAUGGAACUUCUAUGGAAAGCCUACAAUGUGAUGAAGAAGAUGGAUUAUCCAUAUGAGCUCAGCCUUAAGUCCAUUUGUGCACUUAAUGCAUGAUAUGUUUACCAUGUCUUGUAAUUUCUCUGGUUGUGUUUUUCUAUUUCAGCACAUCAUCCACAACAUGAAAGAUCCCAUAUGAUGAAGAUGUCAAGCGGAAAAUAUGGUGGCAAUAUGAGGUUCAGAGAAUUUCCAGCAUGGGCAGCUUGUCGUCAAAUUUGAGAAGGUUGCAGGUUAUACACUUUGGAAUCCAAAAUAAUGAAUCUCAAAUUGCUAUGGAGUUUUGUUAGACUAUAGUAAAGAUCAUUCCAACUCUGAGGAUACUGAUAUGCAGGACCUUCAUGGAAUCUAUGCGAUAUGAUCAACUUCAGGAUUUGGUGGCUAGGCGAAAUCCUGGCUGGGAAUGCUUGCAGGAAUUUAUCCAUUACCGGCAUUGAUCUCCAUGUCCGUGCGCGGGAAGACCUUGUAAUAGUGAAAAAUGUUCCCUAUUACAAAGCAAAGAAAGCAUGGGAAGCUGAAGUCAUGAACCUCGAUGUGCCAACCCGUCCACAGAACUGGGGUGAGUUGAACCUUCCAUUGGAUUCUUCUUCUUAGACUGAAGAGGAACUCAAAGACCCUGCAAAACUGUACGAGAAGACUGUUCUUCUCAACGCUCAAAGAGAAAUCGCUGACACGAUUUUGGAUGCACAGUGGAAAACUAAAUGGCAUCAAGAGAAGGUUAAUCUCACAUCUCUUAUGUCAUUCAAGAAAACAAAUAUACAAUUUUUUUGUGAAGAUUUGCCCUCCUACUCCGACCAUGUUUGAGGUUUUAAACAAUAUUCUGCCAAUGAAAGAGUAGAAAGGAAAUGAAAAGAUACAACACACCGAGAUUUUUUAUAGUGAUUA